GACGAACGCUGGCGGCGUGCUUAACACAUGCAAGUCGAGCGGUAAGGCCCUUUCGGGGGUACACGAGCGGCGAACGGGUGAGUAACACGUGAGUAAUCUGCCCUCUACUCUGGGAUAAGCACUCGAAAGGGUGUCUAAUACCGGAUACGACACGUCUCCGCAUGGGGUGCGUGUGGAAACUUUUGUGGGUAGGGGAUGUGCUCGCGGCCUAUCAGCUUGUUGGUGGGGUAAGGGCCUACCAAGGCUUCGACGGGUAGCCGGCCUGGGAGGGUGACCGGCGACACUGGGAAUGAGACACGGCCCAGACUCCUACGGGAGGCAGCAGGGGGGAAUAUUGGACAAUGGGCGGAAGCCUGAUCCAGCAACGCCGCGUGAGGGAUGACGGCCUUCGGGUUGUAAACCUCUUUCAGUAUUGACGAAGCGCCCGUGUGGGUGGUGACGGUAGGUACAGAAGAAGCACCGGCCAACUACGUGCCAGCAGCCCGCCGUAACAC
rnacentral:rRNA from 1 species